UACGGAGGGUGCAAGCGUUAAUCGGAAUUACUGGGCGUAAAGCGCGCGUAGGCGGCUUGGCAAGUUGAAUGUGAAAUCCCUGGGCUUAACCUAGGAACUGCAUCCAAAACUGCCAGGCUAGAGUACAGAAGAGGUCAAUGGAAUUUCCGGUGUAGCGGUGAAAUGCGUAGAGAUCGGAAGGAACAUCAGUGGCGAAGGCGAUUGACUGGGCUGAUACUGACGCUGAGGUGCGAAGGCGUGGGGAGCAAACAGG
rnacentral:rRNA from 1 species